GUGCUCACUUUGGCAGCACAUAUGCUAAAACUGGAAUGUUAAAGAGAAGAUUAGCAUGGCCCCUGCGAAAGGAUGACAUGGAAAUUCGUGAAGCGUACCCUAUUUUU